GAGUUUGAUCCUGGCUCAGGAUGAACGCUGGCGGCGUGCCUAACACAUGCAAGUCGAACGGAGCCUUAACCAAAGAAGCAGCCAGCUUGCUGGAAGCGGAAAAGGGAAAGGCUUAGUGGCGGACGGGUGAGUAACGCGUGGGUAACCUGGCCCAUACAGGGGGAUAACACUUAGAAAUAGGUGCUAAUACCGCAUAACAACAGAAAGCGCAUGCUUUUUGUUUGAAAACCAAGGUGGUAUGGGAUGGACCCGCGUCUGAUUAGCUGGUUGGCGGGGUAAAGGCCCACCAAGGCGACGAUCAGUAGCCGGCCUGAGAGGGUGGACGGCCACAUUGGGACUGAGACACGGCCCAAACUCCUACGGGAGGCAGCAGUGGGGAAUAUUGCACAAUGGGGGAAACCCUGAUGCGGCGACGCCGCGUGAGUGAAGAAGUAAUUCGUUAUGUAAAGCUCUAUCAGCAGGGAAGAAAAUGACGGUACCUGAGUAAGAAGCCCCGGCUAACUACGUGCCAGCAGCCGCGGUAAUACGUAGGGGGCAAGCGUUAUCCGGAUUUACUGGGUGUAAAGGGAGCGUAGACGGCAGUGCAAGUCUGGAGUGAAAGGCGGGGGCUCAACCCCCGGACUGCUCUGGAAACUGUACGGCUGGA
rnacentral:rRNA from 1 species